CCCUGCUCUAAGAUGGCCAGAUAUGAAAAGCUGCCAAUCGGGAUGCCAGAACAUCAAAGAGAUCGCUCAUGAGAGCACACAAAGUCCCAUUUGUUCAGCACUUGGACGGAGAUGCCAGCAGCUUCCAGGCAGAGGGAGAAUCGAAGCUAAGCAUAUUUUCCUCAAAUAUAACCUGGUCUGCAGAGGUGCAGCUCUGACUUCAACAUCACCAUUAAUAACUUCAUCACCAAGCAAUUUUACCUUCUUGGAGCUGAAAUGUCAAGCAUCACCACUUGUGUGGAGGGACUUUGUAGAGCUAAAAAGCCUACUGGAGUUGUUUCAGAACAACAAAAAAACCACCCCCCAACAAUUGUUGAAGAGUAUUUCAUUUGUGUAAUAAAAGAGCUGAAAAAAAUAUUCCAAUUGAGCAUUCUCUGGACACCCACAGUCCCUUGGCCCUGAAGAAACAGUUGACCUUACUCUGGGAUGGGGCAUUAACAAAAGACAAAAAUUAAGUCCUGAGAAUCAGAACUAAGAGUCAGAAAUACGCAAGUGGUUGACAUCUUUGUGUCUCAGCUUUCUGACCUAUAUCCUAAACAUGAUGUGUGUGAGACUCUUCAUUUGCUGUCUAUGAAUGUAUAAAUGUUAUAAUGUAAGAAUGAAAGAGAGUUGUGAACUCCCUUGA
rnacentral:lncRNA from 1 species